AGCGGGAUAGAGCAGCCCGGUAGCUCGUCAGGCUCAUAACCUGAAGGUCGGUGGUUCAAAUCCAUCUCCCGCAACCA
rnacentral:tRNA from 1 species